UACGUAGGGUGCAAGCGUUGUCCGGAAUUAUUGGGCGUAAAGGGCUCGUAGGCGGUUUGUCGCGUCGGGAGUGAAAACACCGGGCUUAACUCGGUGCUGGCUUUCGAUACGGGCAGACUAGAGGUAUGCAGGGGAGAACGGAAUUCCUGGUGUAGCGGUGAAAUGCGCAGAUAUCAGGAGGAACACCGGUGGCGAAGGCGGGUCUCUGGGCCGAUACUGACGCUGAGGAGCGAAAGCGUGGGGAGCAAACAGG
rnacentral:rRNA from 1 species